UGCAAGUCGAGCGAAUGGAUUAAGAGCUUGCUCUUAUGAAGUUAGCGGCGGACGGGUGAGUAACACGUGGGUAACCUGCCCAUAAGACUGGGAUAACUCCGGGAAACCGGGGCUAAUACCGGAUAACAUUUUGAACCGCAGGGUUCGAAAUUGAAAGGCGGCUUCGGCUGUCACUUAUGGAUGGACCCGCGUCGCAUUAGCUAGUUGGUGAGGUAACGGCUCACCAAGGCAACGAUGCGUAGCCGACCUGAGAGGGUGAUCGGCCACACUGGGACUGAGACACGGCCCAGACUCCUACGGGAGGCAGCAGUAGGGAAUCUUCCGCAAUGGACGAAAGUCUGACGGAGCAACGCCGCGUGAGUGAUGAAGGCUUUCGGGUCGUAAAACUCUGUUGUUAGGGAAGAACAAGUGCUAGUUGAAUAAGCUGGCACCUUGACGGUACCUAACCAGAAAGCCACGGCUAACUACGUGCCAGCAGCCGCGGUAAUACGUAGGUGGCAAGCGUUAUCCGGAAUUAUUGGGCGUAAAGCGCGCGCAGGUGGUUUCUUAAGUCUGAUGUGAAAGCCCACGGCUCAACCGUGGAGGGUCAUUGGAAACUGGGAGACUUGAGUGCAGAAGAGGAAAGUGGAAUUCCAUGUGUAGCGGUGAAAUGCGUAGAGAUAUGGAGGAACACCAGUGGCGAAGGCGACUUUCUGGUCUGUAACUGACACUGAGGCGCGAAAGCGUGGGGAG
rnacentral:rRNA from 1 species